rnacentral:lncRNA from 1 species
GCUUUGAUCCUUUUGGAGUGAAUUUGCCUUUCCUAUAUGUGAGCUACUGACCUUAAUGGUAGAACUUGUUACAUAAAAUUGUCUUUCCAGACUAUCAAGAAAUGUAUCCCCUUAGAGAAAGAAAAAAAAAUAAAAAAAAACAGAUGGAAAAGAAAAAGAAGAAUGUCAUGUGGUUGCAAGACCGCCUUUGAAUUAAUGAGUGACACUUCAUCUUAUAUGCAGUUUAGAAAGUUUUGAAAAACAGCAUGUGAAGUUCUGCCAAGUACAAUCAAAAGAAAGCUUACAAGAGGAGCAAUUCUGACACAUAAGCUCAUUCCUGAGGUACUUGUCAUUAGAGAAUUGCAAUACAAAACUUGAUCUCUGAUCUUCAUUUUGGAAAUCCAGAUCAUACUGGAAUCUCCUGAGAGAUGCUGUGAACCUUCAGCUCACAGGUAAAAGAGUGUGCUUAAACCUGCAAAGGAGAAACACCAAAGCAUAUGUUACAAUCUAGUGUUCUGGUUCUCUAACUCCAGUAAAGCAGUGACUGAAAUGAGG